rnacentral:lncRNA from 1 species
CCACCGACGAGACGGACUCAGGAGGGGCGAACGCUCCUGGGAAAUCCAGAAACUCUAGAGAAGCUUGUUUGCCAAACCUUGCUUUGGGCGGUGGAGACAGAAUAUCAUGUCCCAGAUCAGCGUGUGGUGACUGUGGAGGCAUUUACACACAGCACACUCCAGCUCUGCCACUGGGCCGGCUGAGGUGGCUGCGGUACACGGCGCCCAUCCUGAGCCCCAGGUUCCUCACAUGUCAACAGCAUGAAAAGUGCCUCUAAGACAUCCACAGGUGUGCAGUGUUAAAGCAGGUGAGUGUCCUAGUGUAGACUUAGCGGAGUGGGGCUAGGGCUGCGGGUAGUGGGUGUUCCGCCCCCGGCUUGCUACCCAGUCCUCCCUGUCCCUCAGAUCUGGCCCCAACCCUCAGGCAGACCCGUGUCUUCUCUUCCACCCCCUCCCUCCUCCUCCCUGGCACUCAGCCUUGCUCUUCUACUCUACCCUCCCUCCCCAGGCAGCGCCUCAGCUUGGUUAGCUCCCUUAAGGACUGCGGCUCCCUUAGGACAAGGCUCUGUCCCUCAGAGCACUGAGUGCGAUCUCAUGCUGGCAUCUUAGAGACAUUGUAUUCACCAGGUAAGAUGGAUUCACAUCUGCUGGGUGCACGAACACUUCCUCCUUCCUUGCCACCAGCCAGCAUCACAACCAGCCUGGCCAGGCUCCCGUCCCAGCCCAGCCUAGCAGCUAACCCCAGCUCCAUCCCCCAGCAAGCCCCUCUGCCUGCACCUCAGCUUCUUCAUGGAAGACGAGUCAGGUCAUGAUGCCACCAGGGAGCGUGUUUCCAUGUUGAACUGAGACACUAAGCCCUUGACAAAUGUUGGCCAAGAAAAAAAA